CCCUUAGACGUUCUGGGCCGCACGCGCGCUACACUGACCAGUGCAACAAGCAUCCGUCCUUGGCCGACAGGCUCGGGCAAUCUUUGAACGCUGGUCGUGAUGGGGAUAGACUUUUGCAAUUUUUGGUCUUCAACGAGGAAUUCCUAGUAAACGCAAGUCAUCAACUUGCAAUGAUUACGUCCCUGCCCUUUGUACACACCGCCCGUCGCACCUACCGAUUGAAUGGUCCGGUGAAGCCUCCGGAUUGGCGCGCACCUCGGUGCCGCCGAGAAGUUGGCUAAACCUUACCAUUUAGAGGAAGGUGAAGUCGUAACA
rnacentral:rRNA from 1 species